rnacentral:rRNA from 1 species
UACGGAGGGUGCAAGCGUUGUUCGGAAUUAUUGGGCGUAAAGAGCGUGUAGGCGGUCUGGUAUGUCAGAUGUGAAAGCCCUUGGCUUAACCAAGGAAGUGCAUUUGAAACUGCCAGACUAGAGUACGGGAGGGGGAAGUGGAAUUCCCGGUGUAGAGGUGAAAUUCGUAGAUAUCGGGAGGAACACCGGUGGCGAAGGCGGCUUCCUGGACCGAUACUGACGCUGAGACGCGAAAGCGUGGGGAGCAAACAGG